GAUGAACGCUAGCGAUAGGCCUAACACAUGCAAGUCGAGGGGCAUCACAUGAAGUAGCAAUACGGAUGGUGGCGACCGGCGCACGGGUGAGUAACACGUAUGCAACCUGCCUUCAACAAGGGGGAUAACCCGUUGAAAGACGGACUAAUACCCUAUAACACAGGGGUCCCGCAUGGGGAAUAUUUGUUAAAGGACAACCGGUUGAAGAUGGGCAUGCGUUCCAUUAGCUAGUUGGCGGGGUAACGGCCCACCAAGGCAACGAUGGAUAGGGGAACUGAGAGGUUUAUCCCCCACACUGGUACUGAGACACGGACCAGACUCCUACGGGAGGCAGCAGUGAGGAAUAUUGGUCAAUGGACGCAAGUCUGAACCAGCCACGUCGCGUGAAGGAAGACGGCCCUACGGGUUGUAAACUUCUUUUAUACGGGAAUAAAGUGCCCCACGCGUGGGGUUUUGCAUGUACCGUUGAAUAAGGAUCGGCUAACUCCGUGCCAGCAGCCGCGGU
rnacentral:rRNA from 1 species